AUAAAAAUAGAUCGUCCGAAGAAUUCCAAAUCAACAAAGUUUGAAAAUGAAACGACAUAAUCCAAUUUUUAACAUUCUCAAAGCAAUACAAUAAUUGAAUUGACAUUUAUAGUUCCCCCAUAGGACUUCCUAACAGAGCGACUCAGAGACUGAAGCAAUAAAGUAGAUGGCUCUCUAACGCCGUCGCCGAACUAGGUCUAGUGCUUCUCUCACCUACCUGAAAAUCUACGGUUGCACACCGUAGGGCCAAGCCAGAAAAGGGAAACAACAAGGGGUAAGUAAUACAAUCACAAAGAAUAUCAACCACAAAUGAGCACAAUUAUUAAAAAAACAAUAAGUCAACAAUAUCAACAUCCAUUCCAAUUUUAUAACAUAGAGGAUCACCACCAAUUCCAGUUUUAUAUCAUGGAGGAUCACCACAUAUUCCAGUUUUAUAUCAUCGAGGAUCACCACAUAUUCCAGUUUUAUAUCAUGGAGGAUCAACGUCAAUAGUUCGGCAUCAUUCUACAACAUCAUUGACAACAUCAUUAGGACUCGGCAUGAUUAGACACGUGAAUGAAUACAUAGUCAUGUUCCUAAUUAACAACAUCAGUUAACAACGUCAUUAUUUCAAAAACACGAAUAACAUCAUUACGUCAACAUCAUUAUAGCAACACGGUUCAGCAUCAUUAAUUAACAACAACGGCAACGUCAUGAUUUAGCGACUCAAAUUAUCAAUUUUAAUUCAAUGAACUCAAUUAAUUAGCCUUACUAGACAGCGGCGAAAUAGCCCCUCAUGCUCGUAUGAAUCAGGACCUAUCUAAAGUAAUAGGAACCAUAUUGUAAUUUUAUCCAUAGGUUUCCUCACAUUAUGACAAAUUGACAAGUUUGACCGCACCCACUUUAAAUGCUUCGAUAUAAUCCUCACAACUAGUUCAGCCACUACAUAAAUCAUUCUUAAUAUUAAUCACCAUCCUGUGAUAACAAUUUAAUAUUACAUCUUUGAAUCACCUUUGAAUCACCAACAACACUUGCUUCUAAAAUUAGUGACCAAUCACCAUAACUCCAAAAUCAUUCCGCUUCAAAACCAAACUCUAAUUACAUGUCUCUAAAUGUUGAUGUGAUUAUUCCUACGGGACCCUAACAUCAACAUACAAUAACUACUCACAAGGUAUUUCAAUUUAAAUGAAUUCAAGCAACAUGGACAUCAAGAACAACAGCAACAGUCCCAAAAUUCAAUCGACAUAUAGGGCAUAAAAACUCGAUUCCGAAACAAGCACAAACAACAACAACAACAACAACAACAAACAACAACACGUGGUAAUAAAGAAAAACGGAAAGGAAGGAUAACAAUUAAACCCACACUAUUCAGAAAUUCAGAAACAUAAAUGAAUUGUUAAGCACCCUUACUUGGAAAAACAAUUAUCUUAGGUCAGUUGUGAGUUUUUCUUUUCUCUUCUUUCUCUUCUCCCUCUCGUACGUGUAUCUCUCUUUUCCCCUUGCUCAUCUUUUCUUUCUUUCUCUUGUUUCUUUUUAGCAAAAAGUGGAUAGAUAUUUUUCAAUUUGAUUCUAUCCUAAUCAUAAUCUACUUAUAGGAAUAAUUAGGUGAGAUUUCCUUCCCAUGAAGGAAAAUUAUGUCUUUAUCUUUUUUUUUUUUUGGUCAGGUAGCCUAGUGGCUUAAAUUAUGUCUUUAUCUAUUAAUUGGUUUUUCUUUCUACUAGGCCCAAUUUUAUUAUUUCUACUAUUUUACUAUUCUUUCUUACUCACACCCCCUCUCCACCUAUUAUAUAAUUUCUACACCUCAUGCCUACUCUUUCUUCACUUUUAUUUUCAACUUAUCAUUCUACUCAUUUAUUCAUUAAUUAUUUAAUUACUCAUCACACACAAUAAUUAAAUCAUUAUCAAUAAUCAACUCCUACAAAAAUUACUAAUUAAUUCUAAAUUUGGGGCGUUACAAUAUUUAGUGUUGAUGUAAAAAUUAUUUACACUAAUAUAAAAAAAAAUAAAAAUUAUUUACACUUGCAUGCAAUUAUAUCUCAAUAAAAUUGAUAAUUAUGAGGAACUAAUACAUCAAACUCAUGUAAAAAAAGAUCAAAUAAAUGGAAAAAACUAAAAUGAAAUGAGUCGGAGCGGCCCAUUAGCCCACAUGGCCCAAUAAUAAUUGGGUUGGGCCGGGCUAGCCCAUAUAUCUAGUCUGGCCCAUCGGGCUGGGCUAGCCCAUUUAAAGGAGAAAAAAAAGCAGAACGUUGUUAGCCAGCCAAACAGCGCUUUAUAUUGCCGUGGCAAAUACCAAAUUUAACCGUGGCUAAAUUUUGCAACGCCCCUAUAGGCCACUCUCAAAAUUAACGAUGCAAACUUCAUUAGCCACGGUCAAUUGCACUUUUAGCUACGGAUUUGACAGUGGCUAAAUAUCAAAUAUUUUGUAGUGCGAUAGCGGGUGACCCAAUGGAUCUUGGAGAAACACGGAUACCAUAUAAUAAUUGAGAAUUCCCUCUUACUUAUAAUCCUUUGUCUAGGUCAAUUCACAUCCAAUAUGGGACUUCUUAACAUCUUUUAACAUUUUUGUUCUAUGAAAAUGUUUUAUUUUCCUUUUUCUUUUUGAUGGAAAAAAGUUCUGUUUUCCUGAUAAAGGAAUUGAAUACAUUUUGUUUUCUUGACAAAAGGAAGAACCACUAUUCUAUGACACAUUAUUAUGUUUCUAUUGGAAAACAGUACCACCAUGACCUAAAGUUAUUUGGACCUAAGUUAUAUAUAAUGUUAUAUAAAGUUAUUUGAACUGUGAAAAAAACGACUUUACAUGCACGCCUAAAUUUUAUAUACUUACUGGUCUGACUAUGGAUAUUAAAAAAACAAAUAGUGGUUUGACUUUAGAUCCCAAUCACUUUUUUCUUUAAUAAAACAAAGAGACAGUUUGUAAUAAAAUUCAAAUCUUUUAUAUUAUAAGCUUGUAUACACAAGCAAACUCUAAACCCUAAUUUGUUUU
rnacentral:lncRNA from 1 species